CACCGCGGUUAUACGAAAGACCCUAGUUGCUAGCCACGGCGUAAAGGGUGGUUAAGGGUAAAAAUUAAUAAAGCUAAAGACCCCCUAAGCUGUCAUACGCAUUACGGAGGCGCGAAGCCCCCACACGAAAGUAGCUUUAAAAAUACUCCUGACCCCACGAAAGCUAAGAAA
rnacentral:rRNA from 1 species